UGUCAAAGGAUGGGAAUCUAACCCACGACCUUCCGCUUACCGGGCAGAUGCCAUGACCACUAGGCUACCCUGGAC
rnacentral:tRNA from 1 species